rnacentral:pre_miRNA from 1 species
AACAUGAUUACUGGUUCAUAUGGUAAGAAUAUGUUCAUUUUUGUAAGAAACUGUCAAAAUAUCUUCCAAAAUGGCUUUACCAUUUUGCAUUCCAACCAGUAAU